rnacentral:tRNA from 1 species
UUUAUAGUUUAUAAAACAUCUACUUUGGAUGUAGAAAAAUCUUAAUUUUAAUAAAAAU